rnacentral:lncRNA from 1 species
UUAUGACAAUUUCAUCCAGAGAUGAAGCACCCUUCUCAUAGCUAUAUUCAUCCGAAGACAAAACACCUUCGAAAAACUCCUGCAGCUUGGCUGUACUCUUCUUUUUCUCGGAUGGUUGGACUUUGUAGGCUCCGCUCGACACCUUUUGGUUGUUGUUGUAACCAUCACCCAUGGAUAAGGAGUGUCAUUAGGCCAUUAAGUUGAGGAGCUUGAUUUUGCCUCU